rnacentral:tRNA from 1 species
GAGGUUGUGGCUCAGUGGUAGCGCGCUUGCCUGUCAUGCAUGAGACACUGGGUUCAAUUCUCAGCACCACA